GGGGCAUUAGCUCAGCUGGGAGAGCGCAUGACUGGCAGUCAUGAGGUCAGGAGUUCGAUCCUCCUAUGCUCCACCA
rnacentral:tRNA from 2 species